GUGUCCUACGGGGCGCAGCAGUAGGGAAUCUUCCACAAUGGGCGAAAGCCUGAUGGAGCGACGCCGCGUGAGCGAUGAAGUAUUUCGGUAUGUAAAGCUCUAUCAGCAGGGAAGAAAAUGACGGUACUUGACUAAGAAGCCCCGGCUAACUACGUGCCAGCAGCCGCGGUAAUACGUAGGGGGCAAGCGUUAUCCGGAUUUACUGGGUGUAAAGGGAGCGUAGACGGUCCUGCAAGCCAGAUGUGAAAGCCCGGGGCUCAACCCCGGGACUGCAUUUGGAACUGUAAGGCUAGAGUGUCGGAGAG
rnacentral:rRNA from 1 species